rnacentral:snoRNA from 1 species
UCGUCUCCUGCCUCGCUCGGUCUUUAGUUUCAAUCUGAAGGUCUUGAGCUGGAUGCACUAUUGUGUAAGAGACAAGAACGAUACUCGAUGAUCUUUGAGUACGGGCGCGCCGGAACUUUUUCAGCGGCAAACUCGUAAUUUAUCUGUCGGAACAUA